rnacentral:lncRNA from 1 species
CUCACUCCUGCUCCGGUGCUGAGUAAUGUGUAAUGUCUCAUGUAUGGCAGCAACCAUGGUACCUGUGCCCUGUCCCAAUGGGACCUUCACCCCAAUGGAGUUCGGGGGCCUACGGGAGGAAGGAGAAUGCUUGCUUUGCCCCCCUGGGAGAUUCUGUCGGUUUGGCAGGGUCCAAGGACUCUGUGCUGCAGGGUAUAUUUGUAUCUCUGGUAGCUCAGCGUUUGCCCCACAGCGGUUGCCACUGCAUAACUGGAGCCGGUGCCAAGACCGGGUGGAGUGUUCUGGGGCCUGUCCAGCAGGAUUCUACUGCCCUGAGGGUGCACUGGUGCCGCAUGCUUGUCCAGCUAACACAAUACGAGUUUCUCCUGGAGGCAGUAGCCUUCAGGACUGCCUCGCAUGUCCCCCAAAACACUGGUGCCGAGAAGGUCAGUGCCACGUCAGUACUACACUAGUGACAUAUCAGUGCCACAACAUUUGUCAUGA